CCGCACCACAGGCAUCUGCAGAUCACCUCUCUUCAUCCUCCUUUUCCCCUCUGCAAGAUGGUCAGAAGAAAAGCUCCAUCCAAGAGUUUCCCAUUCUCUGAGUUACCUUUUUUAUUUGUUUUUCAUUUCAUUAUUGGAUUGUCUCUCUCUCUCAGCUUCCUGAUGGAUCCCUGGCUGUUCGCUCGGGCUGCUUGGAGCCCCUCGGCCACUGCUCUACUCUCUGCUAGCACAGAGAGAUGCUGCAUGAUUUCUCGCUCAAGCACUGAGGAAAUCAGCUCUGAAGACAAGAAGGGAGCAGAGGAGUCCAGACUUGCUCUUACAUUUGGUGCAGAACAUCCCAUAUCCCAUCGAGGGGCUGGACACGCGCUGUCUCCCUGUGCUGGUCAUGAACUGGAGUGUGCCACGCAUCCGCACCCAAGGAUGAUUUCCAUACUGAACAUCGCUAAGUUCCACCCUAUUUGCUGAGAUUGGCCUGACCCUGAACAACGUAACAUGUUUCAGAAUACAAAAGCUCCCAAGUUAUCGUCCAUCAGCUGAACCACAGGUUUGGUCUGAUCUGCUGCUGAUGCUGCCAGUGACGUGUGCUAGUCUGAAACCCAAAAGAAUGUGGGAUCCGAUUGCAACCACUCUGGAAUACCAAGCUGGGUUUGGGGGUCCAUGUCUGGCCUGUAUCACAGGGGUUGUGCAAUGAAGUGUUCAUAUACAUCCAUGUCUCCAACAUCUUUGAAAAAAUAUGGAAGCAACAGGAGGGUGCACAGGCUGUUUCCUUUACUACCCUCCAUAAACUUUAAUGAAGGCCUCCCAAUAGAAAUGAAUAGAUGAUACCCUCUGUUCCAAGCUUGGUGUGAGAGCCAGCCAAGAGGCUCUCCUGGCUCUCCUCCUACCUUUCUUUAGUCCAAUAUCGUAGUAAUGGCACAAAGCCUUUCUCCCUGCUGUGAACAGGGAUUAUUGUAGCCAAGGCUGCAUCAUACGCCAUUGUUGCAAGUAUCAGGGACAACCAGUUAAGAACAAUUACCUCCUCCAUCUCUGGGCUCUUCCCCUUGUGCAUUUUGGCAAGUUGCACCAAGAAAAUCUGCAUUUCCUAAGAAAAAAGCCUUGUUGUCCGCUGCUCUUUCAACUGGGUUUGAGUGCCAGAGGUACAUUCGCCUGCCUGCUCGGCCUGGGGCCUGCCCUAUGGGAGCAAGGAGUCAGAGAGCUGACGGGAUUUUCCACCUAGCUGCUGUCCCUGCCCUCGUACUUCAUUGGAAUGGGAGCCAGAAGGAGGUGGCCAGAGGCAGCAGUGCCAAGAUGCAACUCCCAGGCAUUACCAGUGCUGCUAUUUAUAAUUUCCCCUCUCUGUGCCAUUGAUGAGGUAAUAGGAUAGCUGUUUUGCUAGGCAAGCUGUAUUUCUUUUUACCACCAAUAUCUCCUGCCUUGUCAUUGUUUCCUUGUCUUAUUAGGAAGCCCCUUUCCCUCCCCCCCCCCCCGAAAUGCCUCACUAACUGCUGUAAAUAAGAAGAGUGAGGCACAUACUGGAGCAACUUAAAAUGUUUGCAGUGAAAACCAGUGUUACUGACCAGAGGUAUAUGGGCUGGGAACUGACCAUGACUGACCAUCGCUCUGAAGAACCAUAUCCAGUGAUGGCAGCACUUGCCACUUGAUGGCUCCUCCUUCAUGCGUUGCUGGUGGCCUGAUCCAGAGGGUGCUGCCCCUUAUGCUGACUUCUAUGGGGAUCUCCAUGUGCUUUAUACAGGGCACAUCACCACUUUGCUGGACCAAGGUUGGAGCACUGGGCGCACUGUAGGACAGAGCCUGCAGGUAGACCUGUAUAGUCGUCAGCUUCUCUGGCAGCAAUAAGGACCAAAACAUCCAAUAACAGUCUGGAAGGGAACGAGAUCCUAUCUACAGGAGCUUGCCUGGAGAGCUGAAUGGAGAAUUACAGCCCUCUGAUACCGUUUACAGAAGGCUGGUGCAAGAGCUUUAUAGCUGAUUAACAUCCCCUACAGUUUCACGGGCUUUGCCACAACAAUAUGCUGGAGGUGUGUGUCCUGACCAGUGCUUUGGGUUAAAAAUCUUAAGAACAGAGCUGCAAACAGUGAGCCCGUGGGUAUUCAAAAGAGGACAAGGAGAGGGGGCAGCCCUUCCGAAAAAUGAGGUCACUGGAAAUGUGCCCUGUGCUCAGUUCAUGCAUGUUGCUGUCCUGAAGCUGUUCCAGUCUGGCACUCUGCCCAAAAUACUGCCUUCUCUUUCGAAAAGCAGAACUAUAAAUUACAGGUGGGCUUGGACCAGAAGAUGGGAUGUCAAAAAUCACAAAUGUUUCUGGAAACAUCCGAUUCAUGUCCAAGAUGUGCUGCUAUUCUCUGCUUUGCUGUAUCUCAGGACUGAACAUGUGAGGAUGAGCUCAGCUUCCCCCAGAGUUCAAGCUGCGUGGAUCUGGAGACCUCUCUCGUUUCACCUGUACAACUGCUACUUUAGCUAGAAUCUAAUCCACGUUUAUUUGACAGGCUGUAUUAAAGCUGCCAGUUACAAGCCUA